rnacentral:rRNA from 1 species
GGAUUCCCCUAGUAACUGCGAGUGAAGCGGGAAGAGCUCAAAUUUUGAAUCUGAUAGUCAGAAACGGCUAUCCGAGUUGUAAUCUAGAGAAGUGUCUAACCGCGCUGGACCGUGUACAAGUCUCCUGGAAGGGAGCAUCCUAGAGGGUGAGAAUCCCGUCUUUGACACGGACUACCAGGGCUUAUGUGUUACGCUCUCAACGAGUCGAGUUGUUUGGGAAUGCAGCUCAAAAUGGGUGGUAAACUCCAUCUAAAGCUAAAUAUGGGCGAGAAACCGAUAGCGAACAAGUACCGUGAGGGAAAGAUGAAAAGAACUUUGAAAAGAGAGUUAAACAGUAUGUGAAAUUGCUGGAAGGGAAACGCUUGAUGUCACUCACGUUGGUUGGGGGUCAAUCCUACUUGUUCAUUCAGGUGGGGUGUAUUUCUUAGUCAACGGGUCAGCAUCAGUUUCAGUUGGUGGAUAAGAGUGAAGGAAAUGUAGCACUUUUCGGAGUGUGUUAUAGUCUUUCAUUGUAUACAUUGGUUGGGACUGAGGAAUAAACUCUGCAUGAAUGGAUUAUCGUUCUUGUGCAAANGGAUGCUGGCAAAAUGGCCUUAAGCGACCCGUCUUGAAACACGGACCAAGGAGUCUAACAUGUGUGCGAGUAUUUGGGNUAGUGAAACUCGAGUGCGAAAUGAAAGUGAAUUGGUUAUCAGUUGAGACCUCUGUCGUGGAGGGCAUCAACACCCAGACCGGCGUCAUUGACUAUGGAUCUGCGGUAGAGCAUGCAUGUUGGGACCCGAAAGAUGGUGAACUAUGCCCGAAUAGGGUGAAGCCAGAGGAAACUCUGGUGGAGGCUCGUAGCGAUUCUGACGUGCAAAUCGAUCGUCAAAUUUGGGUAUAGGGGCGAAAGA